rnacentral:rRNA from 1 species
UGGGGAAUUUUGGACAAUGGGCGAAAGCCUGAUCCAGCCAUGCCGCGUGAGUGAAGAAGGCCUUCGGGUUGUAAAGCUCUUUCGGUGGGGACGAAAUGACUCGUGCUAAUACCAUGAGUAGAUGACGGUACCCGAAGAAGAAGCACCGGCUAACUACGUGCCAGCAGCCGCGGUAAUACGUAGGGUGCAGGCGUUAAUCGGAAUUACUGGGCGUAAAGCGUGCGCAGGCGGUUUGUUAAGACAGAUGUGAAAUCCCCGGGCUUAACCUGGGAACUGCGUUUGUAACUGGCAAGCUAGAGUGUAGCAGAGGGGGGUAGAAUUCCAAGUGUAGCAGUGAAAUGCGUAGAUAUUUGGAGGAAUACCGAUGGCGAAGGCAGCCCCCUGGGCUAACACUGACGCUCAUGCACGAAAGCGUGGGGAGCAAACAGG